UGUUUGGGAGAAACACUACGGAAUUCUU
rnacentral:piRNA from 1 species